rnacentral:rRNA from 1 species
AUUGAACGCUGGCGGCAUGCCUCACACAUGCAAGUCGAACGGCAGCAUAGGAGCUUGCUCCUGAUGGCGAGUGGCGAACGGGUGAGUAAUAUAUCGGAACGUGCCCUAGAGUGGGGGAUAACUAGUCGAAAGAUUAGCUAAUACCGCAUACGAUCUACGGAUGAAAGGGGGGGAUCGCAAGACCUCAUGCUCCUGGAGCGGCCGAUAUCUGAUUAGCUAGUUGGUGGGGUAAAAGCCUACCAAGGCGACGAUCAGUAGCUGGUCUGAGAGGACGACCAGCCACACUGGGACUGAGACACGGCCCAGACUCCUACGGGAGGCAGCAGUGGGGAAUUUUGGACAAUGGGGGCAACCCUGAUCCAGCAAUGCCGCGUGAGUGAAGAAGGCCUUCGGGUUGUAAAGCUCUUUUGUCAGGGAAGAAACGGCUUUGGCUAAUAUCCAAGACUAAUGACGGCACCUGAAGAAUAAGCACCGGCUAACUACGUGCCAGCAGCCGCCGCUGUAA